rnacentral:rRNA from 1 species
UGCCAGCCGCCGCGGUAAUACGGAGGGAGCAAACGUUGUUCGGAUUUACUGGGUGUAAAGGGUGCGUAGGCGGCCCUGUGUGUCAGAGGUGAAAUCCCACGGCUCAACCUCGGAACUGCAUUUGAAACUGGAAGUCUGGAGUUCAGGAGAGGUUAGCGGAAUACCGAGUGUAGAGGUGAAAUUCGUAGAUAUUCGGUGGAACACCAGUGGCGAAGGCGGCUAACUGGACUGAUACUGACGCUGAGGUGCGAAAGUGUGGGGAGCAAACAGGAUUAGAUA